GACGAACGCUGGCGGCGUGCCUAAUACAUGCAAGUCGAACGCUGAAGAGAGGAGCUUGCUCUUCUUGGAUGAGUUGCGCACGGGUGAGUAACGCGUAGGUAACCUGCCUGGUAGCGUGGGAUAACUAUUGGAAACGAUAGCUAAUACCGCAUCAAAUGGAUUAUCGCAUGAUAAUCCAUUGAAAGGCGCUAAUGCCUCACUACCAGAUGGACCUGCGUUGUAUUAGCUAGUUGGUGGGGUAACGGCGCACCAAGGCGACGAUACAUAGCCGACCUGAGAGGGUGAUCGGACACACUGGGACUGAGACACGGCCCAGACUCAUAGGGGAGGCAGCAGUAGGGAAUCUUCGGCAAUGGACGGAAGACUGACCGAGCAACGCCGCGUGAGUGAAGAAGGGUGUCGGAUCGUAAAGCUCGGUUGUAAGAGAAGAACGAGUGUGAGAGUGGAAAGUUCACACUGUGACGGUAUCUUACCAGAAAGGGACGGCUAACUACGUG
rnacentral:rRNA from 1 species